rnacentral:lncRNA from 11 species
GCCAAACAUGCACAGUUUCUUCAGCUGUUUCUCAGAGGGAUUCAUGACUUCCAGUUCCAGGCGCCGAGCGCAUGAACUGUGUGUCUCAGGGGAGGCAGCAAAUAAGACCUAUUACUUUAAUUUGCCAAAGGGAGCUUUGCAUGCAUGCUUUCGUCAGACAAAGGUGAGAAA